rnacentral:rRNA from 1 species
AGAGUUUGAUCCUGGCUCAGAUUGAACGCUGGCGGUAUGCCUUACACAUGCAAGUCGAACGGUAGAGGGGCAAUCCUCGAGAGUGGCGAACGGGUGAGUAAUACAUCGGAACGUGCCCAGUCGUGGGGGAUAACGUAGCGAAAGCUACGCUAAUACCGCAUACGACCCGAGGGUGAAAGCGGGGGACUCGCAAGAGCCUCGCGCGAUUGGAGCGGCCGAUGGCAGAUUAGGUAGUUGGUGGGGUAAAGGCCCACCGAGCCUGCGAUCUGUAGCUGGUCUGAGAGGACGACCAGCCACACUGGGACUGAGACACAGCCCAGACUCCUACGGAGGCAGCAAUGGGGAAUUUUGGACAAUGGGCGAAAGCCUGAUCCAGCCAUACCGCGUGCGGGAAGAAGGCCUUCGGGUUGUAAACCGCUUUUGUCAGGGAAGAAAUACUUCGGGCUAAUACCCUGGGGUGAUGACGGUACCUGAAGAAUAAGCACCGGCUAACUACGUGCCAGCAGCCGCGGUAAUACGUAGGGUGCAAGCGUUAAUCGGAAUUACUGGGCGUAAAGCGUGCGCAGGCGGUUCUAUAAGACAGAUGUGAAAUCCCCGGGCUCAGCCUGCGAACUGCAUUUGUGACUGUAGAGCUAGAGUACGGUA